GACUGCAUUAAAAAGUUUAUGUUUUGGGAUAUGAAUGGAAAUUUGGCCUGUAUAGCUGUCUAGGGCAAAUUGGAGGUUUUCAUUGGUCUGGAGCAAUUGUUCCAGAUCCCCAGUGGUCAGUGGCAAAUAUAUGCAUGUGAACUCACACCCAGCAAGGGAGCGGAGGCGAGUUCUGGCCUUUUUUAUUAAAUGUCCCAUUAUUUCCUGGAAGGUGGUAAUUGUCUUUGAAGGUUGGUUGUUUGUAAAGAUCCAUUUCAGUAUCAAUAAAGGGUCUCAGAGUUGAAGAUUCCAUUGGAAAAUCAGUCCAUAGAACCGGGGUGCUUUUCUGAGAAUGACAAACUGGAAAGGCAGCUUGGGCUUGAAGCGAUGGGCUUGGCAUGAAGACAGGGCUUCUUGGACCUUGGCGAUGGUGUCUUGGGCUUCUGUUGUGAGCGUGUGUGGAGAGUCUAGGUCCUCGUUGCCAAGGAGAAGGUUGAACAGGGGAGCAAGGUCUUCUGUUGUAAUUCCUAGCAGGGGAUGUACCCAGUUGAUGGAUCUGCACAGACUGUACCAGGAUAUCAUCCAUAUAGUGGUAGAUGAUUGCACCUGGAAAUAGGUUCCGAACAGGACACAGGAUGUGAGCGACGUACCACUGACAUAUAGUGGGCGAGUGACCGCCAGGGAGGCCUUUCAGGGCCUCUGACUGCUACAUGGUAUGGUGUAUCCCUGUGGUCAGCUGGGGUCAGCUGUCCUUCUGCAUGGCCAGCCUGCUCUCUGAUGACGUGGGGCGAGGAGCAAAAAAUGCCUUGAUAGUGUGGCUGGUAAUCUGCUGCUACUGCUUGAGAAAGGGUAAGGGAAACCCUUCUCCUUUGCCUGAUAAAGCAGACUUAUCGGGUUGCUCUGAGCAAGGGUUGCUCCCUGGCUCAGAGGGGAUGUUUUGCAAGCACAUCUGGAAUCAGAACAACAGAAUGAAAUUAUGAUAAUGCAACUUGUCCUUCUUGUGGCAUUUUUCACUUGUUGCAUUGAGAACACAGCUCUCCCAAAUGGUUUAAACCACUUAGGUGACUAGGUAAAACAUCUCCACGUCUGUAAAAUCUAAACCAUUCAGCAGUCCAAAAAAAUGAAGUCCAAUGUCGUGCAUUAUCCUACUGUACCAUCCUGUCAGUUGCUAUGUGUACCACCAAAUCAACAGCUGAAGUACCCUCAUAGGAGCUGGCUACCUUGAGACUCCAUAUGGCCCUUCCUCCUUCUUGCAGCACAUAACCUAAAUAUGUAACAACUCAUUCACCAUCACACUGAGAAUCUGUUACUAGAAUGACACAAUUGCUGUGGAAACAAAAGGCAGU